CCCAAUCCAAUAAUUUCAAAAUAAAAGCCACAUGGAGGGAAUUUUUACUGUAAUGUUUGUGAUGAGGCCUAUUAAUUAAAAACUUCUUAGUUUGAAUAACAAACAUUCUGUCUCCCACUACGAAUAUUACUCGUACUUCUAGUACUACAACUGAUACUUCUACUACCAUACUACUAGUAUUUCUACUGCUAUUAAUACUACAACUACUACUAAUGUUAUUACAAAUACGACUAUGGCUAAUAGUAUUACAGCUGUUUCUACUGCUAUUGAUACUAAACCUACUAUUACUGCUUAUACUGCUAGUACUACUAAUACCACAAUUAUAACUAAUACUACUACUAAUAUUACUACAAACAAUUUUAAACAAAUUUAAGCUCCUGCAACUUCUGUUUUUAGAAAAUCUAUUGAAAUUCAGCUUCCCCACUUCCUGUAUUUUCAGCAGUUCUUUAAAAUAAUUUCAGCUAUUCUUAUGCCUCUAUCAACAGCAAUUUUUCACUAUUCAUUUCUGUAUUUUUUUGCAAUAUUUCAAAUUUAUUUCAGCUGUUUUCAUUUCUGCUUUUUCAGCAAAUCUAUUGAAAUUCCUUUCAGCUUCUCCCAUUUCUGUAUUUUCAGCAAUUUCAAAUUCAUUUCAGCUUUUCUAAUCUUUUCAGCAAAUGUAUUCAAAUUCCCUUCAACUUUCUGUAUUUUCAGCUAUUUUCAAAUAUUCAGUGCAGCUUUCAGCUUUUUGCAUUCCAACGCAUUUUCAGCAGGAAAUGCAUUUUCUAGUUGUUGGAAUGCAUUGAGAUGCAUUCCAAGUAUUGUUCUUCGAAUCUUUAUUAGUUGGAAUGCUUUAAGCAUUCCAAGUAUUGUUCUUCUAAUCUUUAUUUCAACUUAUUAUUAUUCUAUUUCUUCCGCGCCCGCUUUCAACUCCUUCACAUUUUCAGCUAUUUAAACCGUUCAAAUAUUAAAAUAUUCAGCUCCUUUCUGGCUUGAGGGCUAUGUAUGUUCAGCUUUCUACCUCUUAAGCUUGAAUUUAUAUAAAUCAGUAAUCAUGAAUAUUUCGUCUAAUGGUUUUCCUAUGGAGAUCGUGUUUAAAUCCUCUUCAACUUCUUCAACUUUCAGAUUUUUCAGCUUCGCAAAUCUUUCAGCUACAGACACCAUUUCAACUCUCAAAUGUUCACACAAGUCUCAACUAUUUUAUGAAAAAAACUGCUUCUUCAUAUCUAUUGUACUUUUUUUAUAAUGACUGAUUAUGUUUCACUAGUUCUUCGCUCCGUUUCUGACUUUUACAUGAGUGUGUAUUGCGUCUGCUAGAGGCGGGACCUCGCGGGCUAGAGUGUGGGGCAGCGCAGAAAUCUGGUUAAAAAAGUAUGGAACUUCUGUCCUUGCAGCCAAAGUAUACACUCUAGAGGCUUCAUUUCUUCAGAUUAAUGAGGGUAUGGUUGUGCUGAUUGGAUUAAUGUGUUCAUGGAAUCCCAGAGUUUUUUAGUUUUGGCGCAAGGAGUGUUUGAGUGACACAACCUCUGCCAAAAGCCCCAUAGGCUCCAAUACAAAUCUGCCGACAUAUUUCUCACAAAAAUCCACAAGGUACACGUUUUGUAAACGGCCAUAGGAGCCGUAUUUAUUACCGGACAGACAUAAAAACACAUCCACGCGUUCGGUAGAGUCUUGGGUCUCAUACAAACGCCGUAUUUUUUAGAUAGCUGUUAUAGUUUUUCGCUGGUUCCCAUUUGUCUGAGGUGUGGAUUCUGUGUAACUCGCUGUCCUGUGUCUGCACUUUUGCAGCCGCACAGGUGCGGCGUUGUCGUGGUUACGAGCACUCACACGCUGCAGGAUCUGUCUGUGGCUCACAGCUGCUCCUUGUGACCUGAUUAGUGGAGUCACAUGACGCAGCUAUGCUUUCUGUCAACAGACCAAUAUGAUAAAGACACUCGCCCCCCCUCCCCCCUCCACCCUGACCUCUGCUCACUGUUAAUCACUCAGUC
ensembl:lncRNA